rnacentral:rRNA from 1 species
UACGGGAGGCAGCAGUGGGGAAUAUUGCACAAUGGGCGCAAGCCUGAUGCAGCCAUGCCGCGUGUAUGAAAAAGGCCUUCGGGUUGUAAAGUACUUUCAGUCGUGAGGAAGGUGUUAAGGUUAAUAACCUUAGCAAUUGACGUUAGCGACAGAAGAAGCACCGGCUAACUCCGUGCCAGCAGCCGCGGUAAUACGGAGGGUGCGAGCGUUAAUCGGAAUUACUGGGCGUAAAGGGCACGCAGGCGGUUAAUUAAGUUGGAUGUGAAAUCCCCGGGCUUAACCUGGGAAUGGCAUUCAAGACUGGUUAGCUAGAGUCUUGUAGAGGGGGUAGAAUUCCAUGUGUAGCGGUGAAAUGCGUAGAGAUGUGGAGGAAUACCGGUGGCGAAGGCGGCCCCUGGACAAAGACUGACGCUCAUGUGCGAAAGCGUGGGGAGCAAACAGGGAUUAGAU